GACAGAGGGUGCAAACGUUGUUCGGAAUUACUGGGCGUAAAGCGUGUGUAGGCGGCUACGUAAGUCGGAUGUGAAAGCCCCGGGCUCAACCCGGGAAGUGCACUCGAUACUGCGUAGCUUGAGUCUCGGAGAGGUUGGUGGAAUUCUCGGUGUAGAGGUGAAAUUCGUAGAUAUCGAGAGGAACACCGGUGGCGAAGGCGGCCAACUGGACGAAGACUGACGCUGAGGCGCGAAAGCUAGGGGAGCGAACGGG
rnacentral:rRNA from 1 species